rnacentral:misc_RNA from 1 species
AUGAAGAACGCAGCGAAAUGCGAUACGUAAUGUGAAUUGCAGAAUUCAGUGAAUCAUCGAGUCUUUGAACGCACAUUGCGCCCCCUGGUAUUCCGGGGGGCAUGCCUGUCCGAGCGUCAUUGCUGCCCUCAAGCACGGCUUGUGUGUUGGGCCUCCGUCCUCCUCCCGGGGGACGGGCCCGAAAGGCAGCGGCGGCACCGCGUCCGGUCCUCGAGCGUAUGGGGCUUCGUCACCCGCUCUUGUAGGCCCGGCCGGCGCUUGCCGACACAUCAAUCUUUUUUCCAGGUUGACCUCGGAUCAGGUAGGGAUACCCGCUGAACUUAAGCAUAUCAAUAAGCGAGGA